rnacentral:lncRNA from 1 species
GUGAGUUGUGAUCUGAGUGUCCUCUCAUAUUCGACAACUGAUAAGAUUAAUGUAAGUUAAGUUGUGAAGCUUAUUGAAUACCUUAUGUGCAGACAUGGGAUUGGCAUACACAUACCUUUUUUUCCUUUAUCAUAGAGAUGCUCUCUGUACUGUGACAUCUUUCUGUUCUAUAGAAGCUUAAAUAAACCUGCAGUCUUUUUGCAUUAAAAAAUGAUAUGAAUUGAAUUAGAAAAAUGAUAUGACCUCUGGUGACUCAUUUAACAGGCUUUUUGGACUCACUUGUUCAUUUUCAUAGACAUGUUCUUUGCAUAUGGUUUUCUUCCAAAGUAAAAUGAUUGUGCUAUUAUAUGUUGACGUCUGAAGUUUGUAUAUUUCAGUUUAUAAAGUGCAAGAUUUUGUAGAAGUUCAAUGUUUUAAAAAGAGGGCUCGGACAUGGCGACAAGAAUGAAGGUGGAGGGGAAGGAGUGGAGAGAAAGAUGUCUGUCUCCACGUGGUGCGAAAAAGACUAUACAGGAUUCUGGAGGUGAGCUUAAAUGAAAGUAUUUCCUUCUAUCACUAUUCCUGUCGCGAGGCAUGUUUGUUCCCAUGAUGUAAAAGUAAACAUGGUCUGAGAUUACCUAAUCUUAUACUGCAAUUUCAGAAUUUCCUAGAUUUUUUUGACAGUUUCAACACAUGUUCUUCUUACUAAAAUGAACCUGCAGUCUUUUUGCAUUACAAAAAUGAUAUGACAUACUAUAGGACUUUAGCAAUAUCCUUUACGGAACAGGGCAAUAUUCUUUACAGAACCGGUGAUGCAGAUGCAGAUUGGUUUUGGUACGCAACUAACUUAAUCAAAAUCCUUUCUGGCCAUAAGUAUGCGCAUACUACAUGGUUUUGAUAUAUAUGCCUUUUUCUUCAAGUAGUAUGCUCCAAUUUUUUGUCUUCGUGUAUAUUGCCACUCCAAAAUGAAGUCAAAGGCUUCAUUGCCCCCCUCCACCACAGAGUAAUUAAAGGUACCUGCAGUUUUUUUGUUCUUAUUUUUUGUUGGACAAUUCAUCUAAGUAAAAGAGUUUACAAUGGAUAGCUGCAUUUCAUUUAUAGCUUGUACAACCAUGAAUGCAUUAUACUCUCCCUAACUACUUGGCAGGAAAGAUUAAUGCGAAUAGAACAGGUGGCAUAACUCAUUAGAUUUUGUAACUUUGCGGAAUAAGUGCUAAUGUAGUUGGAGUAAAAGUUAAAGAUGCAAUCUGAGUACUAACGUUAUGAAGUUUUGAACAGGAGUCUAGGAUGGCAAACCUAGGGCGUGAUGGGCAGCAUGAAACAUAAGAAAGGUGGAUAUCCGUCCUGUGCCGUCGGAGAGGAAGAAGA